rnacentral:rRNA from 1 species
GACGAACGCUGGCGGUGUGCUUAACACAUGCAAGUCGAACGGUAAGGCCCUUUCGGGGGUCCACGAGUGGCGAACGGGUGAGUAACACGUGAGUAACCUGCCCUCAUCUCUGGGAUAACAGUCGGAAUCGGUUGCUAAUACUGGAUAUGAGCUUGCAAGGCAUCUUGUGGGUUGGAAAGAUUUUUUUUGGUUGGGGAUGGACUCGCGGCCUAUCAGCUUGUUGGUGAGGUAGUGGCUCACCAAGGCUUCGACGGGUAGCCGGCCUGAGAGGGCGACCGGCCACAUUGGGACUGAGAUACGGCCCAAACUCCUACGGGAGGCAGCAGUGGGGAAUAUUGCACAAUGGACGGAAGUCUGAUGCAGCAACGCCGCGUGCGGGAUGACGGCCUUCGGGUUGUAAACCGCUUUCAAUUGUGACGAAGCUUUUUUGUGACGGUAGCAGUAGAAGAAGCACCGGCUAACUACGUG